rnacentral:rRNA from 1 species
UACAGAGGUCCCAAGCGUUGUUCGGAUUCACUGGGCGUAAAGGGUGCGUAGGCGGUCGGGUAAGUCUGACGUGAAAUCUCCAAGCUCAACUUGGAAAUGGCGUCGGAUACUAUUCGGCUUGAGGAGUGGAGGGGAGACUGGAAUUCUCGGUGUAGCAGUGAAAUGCGUAGAUAUCGAGAGGAACACCAGUGGCGAAGGCGAGUCUCUGGACAGUUCCUGACGCUGAGGCACGAAGGCCAGGGGAGCAAACGGG